GCCGUGCGUUUAGUCCCUGGUGACAGGGUUACAACCAAGGCCGUCAUCCCCCACGCGGCGUUGCACCAUCAAGGUUUCCCUCAUUGUG
rnacentral:rRNA from 1 species